UACGGAGGGUGCAAGCGUUAUCCGGAUUUACUGGGUUUAAAGGGUGCGUAGGUGGGUAAGUAAGUCAGUGGUGAAAUCUUCGAGCUUAACUCGGAAACUGCCAUUGAUACUAUUAUCUUGAAUACUUUGGAGGUAAGCGGAAUAUGUCAUGUAGCGGUGAAAUGCUUAGAUAUGACAUAGAACACCAAUUGCGAAGGCAGCUUACUACACAGUUAUUGACACUGAGCACGAAAGCGUGGGAUCAAACAGG
rnacentral:rRNA from 1 species